CACGGGGGGAGCAAGCGUUGUUCGGAAUCACUGGGCGUAAAGGGCGUGUAGGCGGUCAGGUAAGUGAGACGUGAAAUGCCCCGGCUUACCCGGGGACCUGCGUCUCAUACUGCUUGGCUUGAGUACGGGAGAGGGUGUGGGAAUUCCUGGUGUAGCGGUGAAAUGCGUAGAUAUCAGGAGGAACACCGGUGGCGAAGGCGCACACCUGGCCCGAUACUGACGCUGAGGCGCGAAAGCUAGGGGAGCGAAUGGG
rnacentral:rRNA from 1 species